GCGGCGUGCCUAACACAUGCAAGUCGAACGAGGUUUUAAGAGCUUGCUUUUGAUACCGAGUGGCGGACGGGUGAGUAAUGUAUGAGCAACCUGCCUUUCAGAGGGGGACAACAGUUGGAAACGACUGCUAAUACCGCAUAAUGUUUUUGAGCGGCAUCGCUUAAAAACCAAAGGAGCAAUCCGCUGAAAGAUGGGCUCAUAUCUGAUUAGUUAGUUGGUGAGGUAACGGCUCACCAAGACUGCGAUCAGUAGCCGGACUGAGAGGUUGAACGGCCACAUUGGGACUGAGAUACGGCCCAGACUCCUACGGGAGGCAGCAGUGGGGAAUAUUGGGCAAUGGGCGAAAGCCUGACCCAGCAACGCCGCGUGAAGGAAGAAGGUCUUCGGAUUGUAAACUUCUUUUAUGAGGGACGAAGGAAGUGACGGUACCUCAUGAAUAAGCCACGGCUAACUACGUGCCAGCAGCCGCGGUAAUACGUAGGUGGCAAGCGUUAUCCGGAUUUACUGGGUGUAAAGGGCGCGUAGGCGGGGAUGCAAGUCAGAUGUGAAAUCUGUGGGCUCAACUCACAAACUGCAUUUGAAACUGUAUCUCUUGAGUGCUGGAGAGGUAGACGGAAUUCCUUGUGUAGCGGUGAAAUGCGUAGAUAUAAGGAAGAACACCAGUGGCGAAGGCGGUCUACUGGACAGUAACUGACGCUGAGGCGCGAAAGCGUGGGGAGCAAACAGGAUUAGAUACCCUGGUAGUCCACGCUGUAAACGAUGAAUGCUAGCCGUGCGCUCCGAUUGAGGGGUGCGUGGCCGAGCGAAAGCGUUAAGCAUUCCACCUGGGGAGUACGCCGGCAACGGUGAAACUCAAAGGAAUUGACGGGGGCCCGCACAAGCGGAGGAACAUGUGGUUUAAUUCGAUGAUACGCGAGGAACCUUACCCGGGCUCAAACGCGGCGGCGAGAUUUUUGAAAGGAGGUCGUAGGCCAGCAAUGGCCAACCGUCGCGAGGUGCUGCAUGGUUGUCGUCAGCUCGUGCCGUGAGGUGUCGGCUUAAGUGCCAUAACGAGCGCAACCCCCAUCGUCAGUUGCCAUCAGGUGAAGCUGGGCACUCUGGCGAGACUGCCAGCGCAAGCUGCGAGGAAGGCGGGGAUGACGUCAAAUCAGCACGGCCCUUACGUCCGGGGCGACACACGUGUUACAAUGGCAGGCACAGCGGGAAGCCACCCGGCGACGGGGAGCGGAUCCCGAAAGCCUGUCUCAGUUCGGAUCGGAGUCUGCAACCCGACUCCGUGAAGCUGGAUUCGCUAGUAAUCGCAAAUCAGCCAUGGCGCGGUGAAUACGUUCCCGGG
rnacentral:rRNA from 1 species